ensembl:lncRNA
GUGGGGGAUUCUAUAUUCACCACUGGGCUUCAGCUGGAUCAGCUAGAGGCCAAAAAAAGUGAGCCACACAACAGAGCCGGCUUCCCAUGGACGCGUCCGAGGGGGAAACCAGCAUCUCAAUAAAACUAAGUCAGCUCCAACCCGAGGUCUCUGCCCGCUGGCUGCAACACAGCCCUCAGCUACCACCCCAUGUAAGUGUUGUUGCAUUUCAAACAGCAAAGACAGUUGGAUGUCAGAGAUGGUUUCAGUCUCCGACUUUUAUGGAAUUCCCAGUGCGAGAGCCUCCGGGCUCAGGCAAAAUUUCCCCAGUGGCAGCGCUUUGCUCCCAACAUGCGCCUCGCCUCCCAGCCUCCCCACUAUUGAAUCCAGCGUGAUUGUCUCUGGGGCCCAUAAUGGAAUUUUAUCAGGGAUUCCUAUAACUGGAUUGCUUAUUUGCAGCCUUCCGCCAGCGGCAGCUCCAGAUAAAGAAUGCAGAGUAUGUGCUUCAGUGUCACAAACUGUGCCUGGCCACCAUCCAUCAUCCUGUCAAGACAUCACUCCAGACAGCCUGGCUUCAAGCAGAACCAGAUCCAGGAGCCAGCUGAGGCCAGCACAGUUCUCUCCCCUGUGAAUGUGACAAUUGGCCUGGGUCCUGAUUCCCCACAUCCUGCUGCCUAAUGUGAUGUACCCAUCAUCUCCAACCAAGAGACAGGGAUCAGAGAUUCAACAUGUCAGCAAACUACAACUCACCCGCAUGCAAGCCAGCUGUCCAAUGGGAAUUCUUCUGAUGGAGCGAUGGGGUGGACUGAGGUUUUAUACUUGCUUCCUCCAGUGAUGCAGAGCACUAUUUCCAAACCCAAGUAGUCCUCUGGCUCCCAAAAUGAGGGAGAAGAGAGGAGGAGAAGGAGGAGCUAAGCUGCACCCAUUGUCAGUGAGCACAGGUGCAGGAGAGAGGGGGUGCCAGACACAUCUCCACCUCCAUCCCUGGAUCUGUGAUUGACAGGUACUCGUAUAAUUCAUACAGGCCAAAGGGGAAUAUCAGCCCCCUAAAGACACUCAUGUUCUAAUCCCUAGAACCUGUGAAUGUUAACCUUAUAUGGCAAGAAAAGGAUUUUAUAGAUGUGAUUAAGUUUAAGUUCUAAAAAUGGAGAGGUUAUCCUGGAUUAUCUGAGUGGGCCCCAUCUGCAAUCACGAGACCGAGGCAGAGGCAGAUCUGACCCCAGACAGAAGAGGAGAAUGCAGCAGCGCCCGCAGAGGCAGAGGCUGGAAUGGAGCAGCCCCAAGGCAAAGCAUGCUGGCCACCAUCAGAAGCCGGAGUACGUGAGGCACAGACGCUUCCCGGGAGCCUCCAGGGGAGCACAGCCCUGCUGAUACCUUGAUUUGGGCAUUAAGACUUAUUUUGGACUUUCGGCCUCUAGAACUGUGACAGAAUACGUUUCUGUUUUUUACACACUUUGUGUGUAAGACUGUGUUACCGCAGUUGCAGGAAACUCACACCAGGGACUAGAGCAGCACUGUGGUGACCACUGGUGCUGGCAGAUCUGUCAAGUGGACCAGGCCCUGGUUCCAGAAGUGAGGUCCUCAUGCAGAGGAGAGGACUGCACACCUGGAAGGGAGGUGGUGAUUAGGUAAUGAACAGUUCUUCCAUUCCUGUACCAAUUGAACAAGGCAGUCCCCUCUCUCCUAUUCACCCUCAUCCAGCCUCCUCCCCACCAACCCCAUCUACCUCCCUAGAGGGCACUUGCAUUCACCUUGCCACUGCUCUGGUGUAUUUGUUUUUGCACUGCUAUAAAUAAAUACCUGAGCCUGGGUAAUUUAUAAAGACAAGAGGUUGAAUUGGCUCAUGGUCCUGCAGGCUGUACAGGAAGCAUGGCGGCAUCUGCUUCCGGGGAGUCCUCAGGGAGCUUUUACUCAUGGUGGAAGCCAAAGUGGG